rnacentral:misc_RNA from 1 species
GUUCAGUGAUUUAUUACUUAAUACAUUGAUUUUUUUAAAUAUAAAGUAAUCUCAAUAAGUGCUGUGUGGCUACGGCACUAAAGAAUUUAGCCACCCCCUCUCUUCCCGUGGGUGUCGUAAGAGGCGACUAAGGGAUAACAAGGUUCCACAACCAUCUUGGAACUUAAGAAGCCGACCGAUGGCGGGAUAACCAUCCAACUGCUGGCUUUGAAAU